UUAAGCGACUAAGCGUACACGGUGGAUGCCCUGGCAGUCAGAGGCGAUGAAGGACGUGCUAAUCUGCGAAAAGCGUCGGUAAGGUGAUAUGAACCGUUACAGCCGGCGAUGUCCGAAUGGGGAAACCCAGUGCAAUUCGUUGCACUAUCGUUAACUGAAUACAUAGGUUAACGAGGCGAACCGGGGGAACUGAAACAUCUAAGUACCCCGAGGAAAAGAAAUCAACCGAGAUUCCCCCAGUAGCGGCGAGCGAACGGGGAGCAGCCCAGAGUCUGAAUCAGCUUGUGUGUUAGUGGAACGGUCUGGAAAGUCCGACGGUACAGGGUGAUAGUCCCGUACACCAAAAUGCACAGGUUGUGAACUCGAAGAGUAGGGCGGGACACGUGGUAUCCUGUCUGAAUAUGGGGGGACCAUCCUCCAAGGCUAAAUACUCCUGACUGACCGAUAGUGAACCAGUACCGUGAGGGAAAGGCGAAAAGAACCCCGGCGAGGGGAGUGAAAAAGAACCUGAAACCGUGUACGUACAAGCAGUGGGAGCACCUUCGGGUGUGACUGCGUACCUUUUGUAUAAUGGGUCAGCGACUUAUAUUCUGUAGCAAGGUUAACCGUAUAGGGGAGCCGCAGGGAAACCGAGUCUUAACUGGGCGUUAAGUUGCAGGGUAUAGACCCGAAACCCGGUGAUCUAGCCAUGGGCAGGUUGAAGGUUGGGUAACACUAACUGGAGGACCGAACCGACUAAUGUUGAAAAAUUAGCGGAUGACUUGUGGCUGGGGGUGAAAGGCCAAUCAAACCGGGAGAUAGCUGGUUCUCCCCGAAAGCUAUUUAGGUAGCGCCUCGUGAAUUCAUCUUCGGGGGUAGAGCACUGUUUCGGCUAGGGGGUCAUCCCGACUUACCAACCCGAUGCAAACUACGAAUACCGAAGAAUGUUAUCACGGGAGACACACGGCGGGUGCUAACGUCCGUCGUGAAGAGGGAAACAACCCAGACCGCCAGCUAAGGUCCCAAAGUCAUGGUUAAGUGGGAAACGAUGUGGGAAGGCACAGACAGCCAGGAUGUUGGCUUAGAAGCAGCCAUCAUUUAAAGAAAGCGUAAUAGCUCACUGGUCGAGUCGGCCUGCGCGGAAGAUGUAACGGGGCUAAACCAUGCACCGAAGCUGCGGCAGCGACACUAUGUGUUGUUGGGUAGGGGAGCGUUCUGUAAGCCUGCGAAGGUGACCUGUGAGGGUUGCUGGAGGUAUCAGAAGUGCGAAUGCUGACAUAAGUAACGAUAAAGCGGGUGAAAAGCCCGCUCGCCGGAAGACCAAGGGUUCCUGUCCAACGUUAAUCGGGGCAGGGUGAGUCGACCCCUAAGGCGAGGCCGAAAGGCGUAGUCGAUGGGAAACAGGUUAAUAUUCCUGUACUUGGUGUUACUGCGAAGGGGGGACGGAGAAGGCUAUGUUAGCCGGGCGACGGUUGUCCCGGUUUAAGCAUGUAGGCUGGUUGUCCAGGCAAAUCCGGAUAAUCAAGGCUGAGGUGUGAUGACGAGGCACUACGGUGCUGAAGUAACAAAUGCCCUGCUUCCAGGAAAAGCCUCUAAGCAUCAGGUAACAUUAAAUCGUACCCCAAACCGACACAGGUGGUCAGGUAGAGAAUACCAAGGCGCUUGAGAGAACUCGGGUGAAGGAACUAGGCAAAAUGGUGCCGUAACUUCGGGAGAAGGCACGCUGGUGUGUAGGUGAAGCCCCUGCGGGUGGAGCUGAGACCAGUCGAAGAUACCAGCUGGCUGCAACUGUUUAUUAAAAACACAGCACUGUGCAAACACGAAAGUGGACGUAUACGGUGUGACGCCUGCCCGGUGCCGGAAGGUUAAUUGAUGGGGUUAUCCGUAAGGAGAAGCUCUUGAUCGAAGCCCCGGUAAACGGCGGCCGUAACUAUAACGGUCCUAAGGUAGCGAAAUUCCUUGUCGGGUAAGUUCCGACCUGCACGAAUGGCGUAAUGAUGGCCAGGCUGUCUCCACCCGAGACUCAGUGAAAUUGAACUCGCUGUGAAGAUGCAGUGUACCCGCGGCAAGACGGAAAGACCCCGUGAACCUUUACUAUAGCUUGACACUGAACAUUGAGCCUUGAUGUGUAGGAUAGGUGGGAGGCUUUGAAGCGUGGACGCCAGUCUGCGUGGAGCCAACCUUGAAAUACCACCCUUUAAUGUUUGAUGUUCUAACGUUGGCCCCUUACCGGGGUUGCGGACAGUGUCUGGUGGGUAGUUUGACUGGGGCGGUCUCCUCCCAAAGCGUAACGGAGGAGCACGAAGGUUAGCUAAUCCUGGUCGGACAUCAGGAGGUUAGUGCAAUGGCAUAAGCUAGCUUGACUGCGAGCGUGACGGCGCGAGCAGGUGCGAAAGCAGGUCAUAGUGAUCCGGUGGUUCUGAAUGGAAGGGCCAUCGCUCAACGGAUAAAAGGUACUCCGGGGAUAACAGGCUGAUACCGCCCAAGAGUUCAUAUCGACGGCGGUGUUUGGCACCUCGAUGUCGGCUCAUCACAUCCUGGGGCUGAAGUAGGUCCCAAGGGUAUGGCUGUUCGCCAUUUAAAGUGGUACGCGAGCUGGGUUUAGAACGUCGUGAGACAGUUCGGUCCCUAUCUGCCGUGGGCGCUGGAGAAUUGAGGGGGGCUGCUCCUAGUACGAGAGGACCGGAGUGGACGCAUCACUGGUGUUCGGGUUGUCAUGCCAAUGGCACUGCCCGGUAGCUAAAUGCGGAAGAGAUAAGUGCUGAAAGCAUCUAAGCACGAAACUUGCCCCGAGAUGAGUUCUCCCUGAGACUUUAAGUCUCCUGAAGGAACGUUGAAGACGACGACGUUGAUAGGCCGGGUGUGUAAGCGCAGCGAUGCGUUGAGCUAACCGGUACUAAUGAACCGUGAGGCUUAACCUU
rnacentral:rRNA from 1 species